rnacentral:rRNA from 1 species
CAGCCGCCGCGGUAAUACGGAGGGUGCAAGCGUUAUCCGGAUUUAUUGGGUUUAAAGGGUCCGUAGGCGGACUUAUAAGUCAGUGGUGAAAGCCUGUCGCUUAACGAUAGAACUGCCAUUGAUACUGUAAGUCUUGAGUAUAUUUGAGGUAGCUGGAAUAAGUAGUGUAGCGGUGAAAUGCAUAGAUAUUACUUAGAACACCAAUUGCGAAGGCAGGUCACUAAGAUUUAACUGACGCUGAUGGACGAAAGCGUGGGGAGCGAACAGGAUUAGAGACCCGUGUAGUCCCUGUCUCUUAUAC